ensembl:snRNA U6 U6 spliceosomal RNA
GUGCUCACUUCAGCAUCACAUAUACUAAAACUGGAACGACACAGAGAAGAUCAGCAUGUCCCCUGCACAAAGAUGACAUGCAAAUUUGUGAAGCAUUCCAUAUUUUU